AGAAUCAACGCUGGCGGCGUGCCUAACACAUGCAAGUCGAACGAGAAAGUGGAGCAAUCCAUGAGUAAAGUGGCGACCGGGUGAGUAACACGUGACUAACCUACCUUCGAGUGGGGGAUAACCUCGGGAAACCGGGCUAAUACCGCAUAACAUCUUUGAAGUGGAAAUUUCGGAGAUCAAAGGGCAAUUCGCUUGAGGAGGGGGUCGCGGCUGAUUAGCUAGUUGCGGGUAACGGCCCACCAAGGCUUAGAUCGGUA
rnacentral:rRNA from 1 species